GGGGUUGUGGCUCAGGGGUAGAGCACUCGACUCGCCUCGCACUUGGGAGACCCUGGGUUCAAUCCUCAGCACCACA
rnacentral:tRNA from 1 species